CCGAUCUCCAAUGUCUUCGAUGCACGGCCCAUCCCAACCUGCGGCGAGCUGAUCCAUCCGGGACUCCGGCGAGAGCGGCUGCGAUCCAACAUCCGGGACUCUGGCUCGGUGCUAAAAAUUAGAGUUUGCCAUCCAAGUACAUGCUCCAUCCGGGACUCCGGCGGCGAGACUGAAAUCAGGGCAGUCCAGGGGCUCCAUGGUGAACAUAGAUGCGGUCGGCGACGGUGCUCGAUGGCUCGGCUCGAUGACGGAGAGAAGACACGUGUGACGGCGACAUGACGACCUAGGAUCGCAUGCAACCAGCAGCCUUUUCUCCACUGAUUGGCCGGCGAUACAUCGGGCUUUAUUUUGGCAGAUGCAAUAUUAGCAUCCUACUACUCUAGUUAAUUGUAAGGCAAAUCAGUAGAUCCAUGCAUGAUAGCUACUGUACAUGUUGUCCGUUCAUGGACUUAUGUAUGAUUAAAUUAUACUCCCUCCGUCUUGAAAUACUUGUCGGAGAAAUGCAUAAAAAUGAAUGUAUCUAGAACUAAAAUACGUCUAGAUACAUCCAUUCCUCCGACAAGUAUUUCCGGACGGAGGGAGUACUUGCAUCCUACUACAAAUUUAUAUUCGUGUGCAUACAUGAUCAGAUGGCAUCGGCUGAUCCAGCUUGUGUAUGCAACAUGCAUAUGCAGCAAGCAUGCAAGGGCAAGCGUGCUCUCCGAUGUGAUGUACAUAUACGUUUGUAUUUUCUGGUAUGGACCAAUAUAAAUAUUCAAAAACAGCUA